GUCACCACGUCCAUAUAAUAAACUCCACAGGCAUGAAAACUGAGAAUUAGGUAGACUGGACAUUGCUGCCGCUCACGGUGAAGGAAUUUCGUCAAUAGGACCUGUACUUUUCAUUUGGGAACGAUUUGUUUCGGCCUAACUUUUCUGUUCAUUUUAAGCAGCAAAAGUGAGGUGCAUGUCUGUGUGCGUGUGUAUGGAGCCCCUGGCUCAGUCACUAUAGCAACCAGGCUCACACCUGCCUGCCUAACGAGCUCUCUCUCACUCUGCCAAGAUUCAUCUUGAACACUUCUCUUUCAACUGCUGCUGUGUCCACA
ensembl:lncRNA